rnacentral:lncRNA from 1 species
AAAAGGUGAGAUUACCAUAAACCAACUAGGAUAAAUCAAACCUAUGGCUAAUGUAUGAAAACUUAUCAAGAAUGGACAAAGCCACAAAACAAUUGAAUGAGUUGGAUUAACCAAUUAAGAUUUAUUCACAAAAGAUGGUCAAGGUAUGAUUAGAAUUCAAUUCAAAGAAGUAUUAUGAAAUGGAGUUUUGAAAAAUCAAAGGCCUAAAGCCUAGGUUUCUAAUUUGAAAAGAGAUGAGAAUGUUUGCACAAUAUUUUUGGUUUUGGGUUAAC